rnacentral:rRNA from 1 species
UGGGGGAUAUUGCACAAUGGGCGAAAGCCUGAUGCAGCGACGCCGCGUGGGGGAUGAAGGCCUUCGGGUUGUAAACUUCUUUUGCUCUGAACAAGGCGCACCAUGGGGUGUGUUGAGUGUAGGGGUUGAUUAGCGCCGGCUAACUACGUGCCAGCAGCCGCGGUAAUACGUAGGGCGCGAGCGUUGUCCGGAAUUAUUGGGCGUAAAGGGCUUGUAGGUGGCUGGUUGCGUCUGUCGUGAAAGCUCAUGGCUUAACUGUGGGUUUGCGGUGGGUACGGGCUGGCUUGAGUGCAGUAGGGGAAGCUGGAAUUCCUGGUGUAGCGGUGGAAUGCGCAGAUAUCAAGAGGAAUACGGGUGGCGAAGGCGGGUCUCUGGGCUGUUACUGACACUGAGGAGCGAAAGCAUGGGGAGCGAACAGG